rnacentral:rRNA from 1 species
UUGCUUCGGCGGGAAUAGACGGCCCCGUGAAACGGGCCGCCCCCGCCAGAGGACCCUUAACUCUGUUUCUAUAAUGUUUCUUCUGAGUAAAACAAGCAAAUAAAUUAAAACUUUCAACAACGGAUCUCUUGGCUCUGGCAUCGAUGAAGAACGCAGCGAAAUGCGAUAAGUAAUGUGAAUUGCAGAAUUCAGUGAAUCAUCGAAUCUUUGAACGCACAUUGCGCCCGCCAGUAUUCUGGCGGGCAUGCCUGUUCGAGCGUCAUUACAACCCUCAGGCCCCCGGGCCUGGCGUUGGGGAUCGGCGGAGCCUCUCUGUGGGCACACGCCGUCCCCCAAAUACAGUGGCGGUCCCGCCGCAGCUUCCAUCGCGUAGUAGCUAACACCUCGCGACUGGAGAGCGGCGCGGCCACGCCGUAAAACACCCAAC